rnacentral:rRNA from 1 species
CCUACGGGAGGCAGCAGUAAGGAAUAUUGGUCAAUGGACGCAAGUCUGAACCAGCCAUGCCGCGUGGAGGAUGAAGGCCCUCUGGAUUGUAAACUUCUUUUAUCUGGGACGAACAAAGGCUUUUCUAAGUCGACUGACGGUACCAGAUGAAUAAGCACCGGCUAACUCCGUGCCAGCAGCCGCGGUAAU